GAGUUUGAUCCUGGCUCAGAACGAACGCUGGCGGCGUGCUUGAGACAUGCAAGUCGUGGGAGAAAGUCGGGGCAACCCGGCGAGUAAACCGGCGCACGGGUGAGUAACACGUGAAUAACCUGCCUUGGAGAUUGGGAUAACCCGUCGAAAGACGGACUAAUACCGGAUAAGACCACGGACAGUUCGCUGUCUGGGGUAAAAGGUGGCCUCUGCUCCUGCAAGCUAUCACUUCAAGAGGGGUUCGCGUCCUAUCAGCUAGUUGGUGAGGUGACGGCUCACCAAGGCUAAGACGGGUAGCUGGUCUGAGAGGAUGGUCAGCCACACUGGGACUGAGACACGGCCCAGAGUCCUACGGGAUGCAGCAGUCAGGAAUAUUGCGCAAUGGAGGAAACUCUGACGCAGCGACGCCGCGUGGGUGAUGAAGGCCUUCGGGUCGUAAAGCCCUGUCGGAGGGGAAGAAAAGUCUGCCGGUGAAUAUCCGGCGGACCUUUGACGGUACCCUUAAAGGAAGCACCGGCUAACUCCGUGCCAGCAGCCGCGGUAAGACGGAGGGUGCAAGCGUUGUUCGGAUUGACUGGGCGUAAAGGGCGUGUAGGCGGUUGGUCAAGUCUGGUGUGAAAGCCCGGGGCUCAGCCUCGGAAGUGCAUCGGAAACUAGCCAGCUAGAGCGCGGUAGAGGAGGGUGGAAUUCCUGGUGUAGCGGUGAAAUGCGUAGAUAUCAGGAGGAACACCGGCGGCGAAGGCGGCCCUCUG
rnacentral:rRNA from 1 species